rnacentral:tRNA from 1 species
ACUUAAGUAGUUUAAAUAAAAUUUCAAUUUGUGGAAUUGAAGAUACAUUAUAUGUAUUAAGUA